AGAGCGAACGCUGGCGGCAGGCCUAACACAUGCAAGUCGAGCGCCCCGCAAGGGGAGCGGCAGACGGGAGAGUAACACGUGGGAACGUACCCUUCAGUUCGGAACAACCCAGGGAAACUUGGGCUAAUACCGAAUACGUCCGUAAGGAGAAAGAUUUAUCGCUGAAGGAUCGGCCCGCGUCUGAUUAGCUUGUUGGUGGGGUAACGGCUCACCAAGGCGACGAUCAGUAGCUGGUCUGAGAGGAUGAUCAGCCACACUGGGACUGAGACACGGCCCAGACUCCUACGGGAGGCAGCAGUGGGGAAUAUGGACAAUGGGGCAACCCUGAUCCAGCAAUGCCGCGUGAGUGAUGAAGGCCUUAGGGUUGUAAAGCUCUUUCGCCCGCGACGAUGAUGACGGUAGCGGGAGAAGAAGCCCCGGCUAACUUCGUGCCAGCAGCCGC
rnacentral:rRNA from 1 species